rnacentral:miRNA from 10 species
CUAUUAGUUUGGUGCAAAAGUAAUUGUGGUUUUUGCCAUUAAAAGUAUUUGUAAAACAAACCAAUUACUCUUGCACCAACUUAAUAGCAUUGGAUCCACUAAC